AGACCAUGAUGAGGGCAUCUUUAUACGGGUAGUUUAAAAUGUUCCCAGGUUUUGUAUAAGUUUUCCCCUUCCAUUUGUUUGAAAUUGGUAAUAUGUCCUCUUAGUUG
rfam:Gossypium raimondii chromosome 9, whole genome shotgun sequence.